CAGUCGCCGCGGUAAUCCGUAGGUGGCAAGCGUUGUCCGGAAUUAUUGGGCGUAAAGGGCUCGCAGGCGGUUUCUUAAGUCUGAUGUGAAAGCCCCCGGCUCAACCGGGGAGGGUCAUUGGAAACUGGGAAACUUGAGUGCAGAAGAGGAGAGUGGAAUUCCACGUGUAGCGGUGAAAUGCGUAGAGAUGUGGAGGAACACCAGUGGCGAAGGCGACUCUCUGGUCUGUAACUGACGCUGAGGAGCGAAAGCGUGGGGAGCGAACAGGAUUAGAUACCCCGGUAGUCCCUGUCUCUUAUAC
rnacentral:rRNA from 1 species